UAACACAGAGAAACACGCUGGCAGGCCUGC
rnacentral:piRNA from 1 species